GGGGUGACUAGUGACAGAGUGAGGGAAGGGGUGACUAGUGGCAGAGUGAGGGAAGGAAGGGGUGACUAGUGACAGAGUGAGGGAGGUGGUGACUGUCACUAGUCACCACCUCCCUCACUCUGUCACUAGUUACCACCUCCCUCUGUCACUACUCCCUCCCUCGGUCACUACUCCCUCCCUCCUUCUGUCACUAGUCACCCCCUCCUCUGUCACUAGUCACCCCCUAACUCACUCUGUCACUAGUCAUCCUC